rnacentral:rRNA from 1 species
CCGAGAAUUUUUCACAAUGGGCGAAAGCCUGAUGGAGCGACGCCGCGUGGGGGAUGAAUGGCUUCGGCCCGUAAACCCCUGUCAUUCGCGAGCAAACGUUAUUAUUUAAAAGAUGAUAGCCUGAUAGUAGCGAAAGAGGAAGGGACGGCUAACUCUGUGCCAGCAGCCGCGGUAAUACAGAGGUCCCAAGCGUUGUUCGGAUUUACUGGGCGUAAAGGGUGCGUAGGUGGUGGGGUAAGUCGGAUGUGAAAUCUCCGAGCUCAACUCGGGAAGUGCAUUGGAAACUACGCUGCUCGAGGGUUGGAGGGGGGACUGGAAUACUUGGUGUAGCAGUGAAAUGCGUAGAUAUCAAGUGGAACACCAGUGGCGAAGGCGAGUCCCUGGACAACUCCUGACACUGAGGCACGAAAGCUAGGGGAGCAAACAG